GGGAACCUCACCAGGCCCGGACACCGCGAGGAUUGACAGACUGAGAGCUCUUUCUCGAUUCGGUGGGUGGUGGUGCAUGGCCGUUCUUAGUUGGUGGAGCGAUCUGUCUGGUUAAUUCCGAUAACGAACGAGACCCCAACCUGCUAACUAGCCCUCGGGUCCUGCUUCUGUUGGGCCCGACGGAAUGAUUCGCUUCUUAGAGGGACUCGCGGCGCCUAGCCGCACGAAGGGGGGCGAUAA
rnacentral:rRNA from 1 species